rnacentral:rRNA from 16 species
GUGUCGAUGAAGAGCGCAGCCAACUGUGUGAAUUAAUGUGAAUCGCAGACUGCUUUGAACAUCGACCUCUUGAACGCACAUUGCGGCCGUAGGCUUGCCUACGGCCACGUCUGGCCGAGGGUCGGCU